rnacentral:rRNA from 1 species
UACGUAGGUGGCGAGCGUUGUCCGGAUUUAUUGGGUUUAAAGGGUGCGUAGGCGGCUUUGUAAGUCAGUGGUGAAAUACUCCAGCUUAACUGGAGGGGUGCCAUUGAUACUGCGGAGCUUGAGUACAGAUGAGGUAGGCGGAAUUGACGGUGUAGCGGUGAAAUGCAUAGAUAUCGUCAAGAACACCGCUAGCGAAGGCAGCUUACUGGGCUGUAACUGACGCUGAUGCACGAAAGUGUGGGGAUCAAACAGG